CUACGGGAUGCAGCAGUUAGGAAUAUUGGACAAUGGGGGCAACCCUGAUCCAGCCAUGCCGCGUGUGUGAUGAAGGCCUUAGGGUUGUAAAGCACUUUCGGCUGUGAAGAUAAUGACAGUAGCAGAAGAAGAAGCUCCGGCUAAAUUCGUGCCAGCAGCCGCGGUAAUACGAAUGGAGCGAGCGUUGUUCGGAAUCACUGGGCGUAAAGGGUGCGCAGGCGGUUAUGAAAGUCAGAAGUGAAAUCCCAGGGCUUAACCCUGGAAUUGCUUUUGAAACUCCAUGACUCGAGUACUGGAGAGGUUAGCGGAAUUCCGAGUGUAGCAGUGAAAUGCGUAGAUAUUCGGAGGAACACCAAUGGCGUAGGCAGCUAACUGGACAGUAACUGACGCUCAUGCACGAAAGCGUGGGGAUCAAACAGGAUUAGAUACCCUCGUAGUC
rnacentral:rRNA from 1 species